rnacentral:rRNA from 1 species
CUGGCUCAGAUUGAACGCUGGCGGCAGGCCUAACACAUGCAAGUCGAGCGGAUGAGUGGAGCUUGCUCCAUGAUUCAGCGGCGGACGGGUGAGUAAUGCCUAGGAAUCUGCCUGGUAGUGGGGGAUAACGUUUCGAAAGGAACGCUAAUACCGCAUACGUCCUACGGGAGAAAGUGGGGGAUCUUCGGACCUCACGCUAUCAGAUGAGCCUAGGUCGGAUUAGCUAGUUGGUGGGGUAAUGGCCCACCAAGGCGACGAUCCGUAACUGGUCUGAGAGGAUGAUCAGUCACACUGGAACUGAGACACGGUCCAGACUCCUACGGGAGGCAGCAGUGGGGAAUAUUGGACAAUGGGCGAAAGCCUGAUCCAGCCAUGCCGCGUGUGUGAAGAAGGUCUUCGGAUUGUAAAGCACUUUAAGUUGGGAGGAAGGGCAGUAAGUUAAUA